CGGACCUAAGCAAGAUACUUCCUCGACACAUAUGAUUUUAAAUUUUCACUUUAAAGGGAUUUUGCAUUAAUUAGUUUUUUCCCUUAUCACUUUUUCCUCAGUGAUUUGAGUAAAUAAGACAAGAAGUAAUAAAUUUCAUCGAAUAUU